rnacentral:rRNA from 1 species
UAAUACGGAGGGUGCAAGCGUUAAUCGGAAUUACUGGGCGUAAAGCGCACGCAGGCGGUCAAUUAAGUUGGAUGUGAAAUCCCCGGGCUUAACCUGGGAACUGCAUUCAAAACUGAUUGGCUAGAGUCUUGUAGAGGGGGGUAGAAUUCCAGGUGUAGCGGUGAAAUGCGUAGAGAUCUGGAGGAAUACCGGUGGCGAAGGCGGCCCCCUGGACAAAGACUGACGCUCAGGUGCGAAAGCGUGGGGAGCAAACAGGAUUAGAUACCCUGGUAGUCCACGCUGUAAACGAUGUCGACUUGGAGGUUGUGGCCUUGAGCCGUGGCUUCCGGAGCUAACGCGUUAAGUCGACCGCCUGGGGAGUACGGCCGCAAGGUUA